rnacentral:rRNA from 1 species
CAAGAAAAGUUUCUAAGUUUAGCUAAUGUUGCCCGUACCGUAAACCGACACAGGUGGGUGGGAUGAGUAUUCUAAGGCGCGUGGAAGAACGCUCUUUAAGGAACUCUGCAAAAUAGCACCGUAUCUUCGGUAUAAGGUGUGGUUAGCUUUGUAUUAGGAUUUACUCCGAAAGCAAGGAAACUUACAACAAAGAGUCCCUCCCGACUGUUUACCAAAAUCACAGCACUCUGCUAACUCGUAAGAGGAUGUAUAGGGUGUGACGCCUGCCCGGUGCUCGAAGGUUAAUUGAUGGGG